rnacentral:rRNA from 1 species
GGAUCAAUUUGCUGGUCGUGCCUUUGGUACGUACUGGUAUUAUUGGUUUCUCCUUUCUGAAGAACUACGAUGUCAUUAAUUUGGUGCCGUGGGGAAUCAGGACUGUUACCUUGAGAAAAUUAGAGUGUUUAAAGCAAGCUAACGCUUGAAUACAUUAGCAUGGAAUAAUGAAAUAGGACGUUCGAUCCUAUUUUGUUGGUUUCUAGGAUUGACGUA